rnacentral:tRNA from 1 species
UCCCUGCUGGCUCAGAUGGUAAAGCAUCUGCUUACAAUGCAGGAGACCCAGGUUCGAUCCCUGGAUGGGGAA